AUGCACGCUGGCGGCGUGCCUAAUACCUGCCAGUCGCGCGAACAGACGAGGAGCUUGCUCCUCUGACGUUAGCGGCGGACGGGUGAGUAACACGUGGAUAACCUACCUAUAAGCCUGGGAUAACUUCGGGAAACCGGAGCUAAUACCGGAUAAUAUAUUGAACCGCAUGGUUCAAUAGUGAAAGACGGUUUUGCUGUCACUUAUAGAUGGAUCCGCGCCGCAUUAGCUAGUUGGUAAGGUAACGGCUUACCAAGGCAACGAUGCGUAGCCGACCUGAGAGGGUGAUCGGCCACACUGGAACUGAGACACGGUCCAGACUCCUACGGGAGGCAGCAGUAGGGAAUCUUCCGCAAAGGGCGAAAGCCUGACGGAGCAACGCCGCGUGAGUGAUGAAGGUCUUCGGAUCGUAAAACUCUGUUAUUAGGGAAGAACAAAUGUGUAAGUAACUAUGCACGUCUUGACGGUACCUAAUCAGAAAGCCACGGCUAACUACGUG
rnacentral:rRNA from 1 species